UUAAAGUUUGGUUUUGGCUUUCUCUUUGGCUUUUUUAAAGAAAUACAUGAUAAUUUAUGUGGGCUUGUUUGUGUAUUAUGUUCUAAAUGAUUUAUGUAUUAAAAUUGAAAUUUAGUAAAAAGAAAAACAGCUUCAGUGUAUAAUUUUAAAUUAAUGAUUGAAAGAUUGAUUUAGUUAUUAAAAAGAGGAGAGGCUAAUUUUGUGCCAGCUGCUGCGGUUAUACAAAAUGUUCUAGUCAAAGUUUUGUGGUAUAAAUUUUAGUUAUUUUGGUUAUUUCAUUUUUAAUUUGGUUUUUAAUGGUAAAAUUUGUAAAAAGUUUUUGUGUUGUUUGUUUGUGUUUUGAAAAAAGAAGCUAUAAAAAUUUUAGUUUUAGACCGGGAUUAGAGACCCCGUUAUUCUUAAGUUUAAUUUUUUUUUACCUGAGUAUUAAGAGAGUUCUUUAAAUUCAAAAAACUUGGCGGUGUCUUAUUUCAAGCCAGAGGAAUCUGUUCUGUAAUCGAUGAUCCACGAGAUAGUUAACUUUUUUAUUUGUUUUAGUAGUUUGUGUAUUUCCGUUGUCAGUAUAUAUUUAGAGAUUUUUUAUGUGCAAGAGAAUUUAAAGUUUAGACAUCAGGUCACAGUGCAGUGUUUAAAAAAGUAGAAAUGGAUUACAUUUGUUUAGUUUGAUUGGAUUGGUUGCUGGAAAGUAGCUUUGAAAUUGGAUUUGGUAGUAAUUUGUGAUUAGUAUGGCUAUUUGAAUUGUGUAACUAAGGUGUGUACAAAUCGCCCGUCGCUCUUUCUGUGCGAGGAAAGAUAAGUCGUAACAUAGUAAGGGUAGUUGAAACUGCUCUUAGAUU
rnacentral:ncRNA from 1 species